rnacentral:rRNA from 1 species
UACGAAGGGGGCUAGCGUUGCUCGGAAUUACUGGGCGUAAAGGGCGCGUAGGCGGAUAGUUAAGUCUGUCGUGAAAGCCCCGGGCUCAACCUGGGAAUGGCGGUGGAUACUGGCAGGCUAGAGUACGGUAGAGGAUGGUGGAAUUCCCGGUGUAGCAGUGAAAUGCGUAGAGAUCGGGAGGAACAUCUAUGGCGAAGGCAGCCAUCUGGACCAGUACUGACGCUGAGGCACGAAAGCGUGGGGAGCAAACAGG